rnacentral:rRNA from 1 species
GAUGAACGCUCGCUACAGGCUUAACACAUGCAAGUCGAGGGGAAACGACAUCGCAAGCUUGCUUUUGAUGGGCGUCGACCGGCGCACGGGUGAGUAACGCGUAUCCAACCUGCCCAUCACUUGGGAAUAACCUUGCGAAAGUAAGACUAAUACCCAAUGACAUCCCACGAAGACAUCUGAAUGGGAUUAAAGAUUUAUCGGUGAUGGAUGGGGAUGCGUCUGAUUAGCUUGUUGGCGGGGUAACGGCCCACCAAGGCAACGAUCAGUAGGGGUUCUGAGAGGAAGGUCCCCCACAUUGGAACUGAGACACGGUCCAAACUCCUACGGGAGGCAGCAGUGAGGAAUAUUGGUCAAUGGGCGAGAGCCUGAACCAGCCAAGUAGCGUGCAGGAGGACGGCCCUAUGGGUUGUAAACUGCUUUUAUAAGGGAAUAAAGUGGGUCUCGUGAGACUUUUUGCAUGUACCUUAUGAAUAAGGACCGGCUAAUUCCGUG